AGAUUAAGUUAUUAAGGGCGCACGGUGGAUGCCUUGGCACUAGAAGCCGAUGAAGGACGUUACUAACGACGAUAUGCUUUGGGUAGCUGUAAGUAAGCGUUGAUCCAGAGAUUUCCGAAUGGGGGAACCCAGCAUGAGUUAUGUCAUGUUAUCGACAUGUGAAUUCAUAGCAUGUCAGAAGGCAGACCCGGAGAACUGAAACAUCUUAGUACCCGGAGGAAGAGAAAGAAAAAUCGAUUCCCUGAGUAGCGGCGAGCGAAACGGGAAGAGCCCAAACCAACAAGCUUGCUUGUUGGGGUUGUAGGACACUCUAUACGGAGUUACAAAAGAACAUGUUAGACGAAUCAUCUGGAAAGAUGAAUCAAAGAAGGUAAUAAUCCUGUAGUCGAAAACAUAUUCUCUCUUGAGUGGAUCCUGAGUACGACGGAGCACGUGAAAUUCCGUCGGAAUCUGGGAGGACCAUCUCCUAAGGCUAAAUACUCUCUAGUGACCGAUAGUGAACCAGUACCGUGAGGGAAAGGUGAAAAGUACCCCGGAAGGGGAGUGAAAGAGAACUUGAAACCGUGUGCUUACAAGUAGUCAGAGCCCGUUAAUGGGUGAUGGCGUGCCUUUUGUAGAAUGAACCGGCGAGUUACGAUCUGAUGCAAGGUUAAGCAGCAAAUGUGGAGCCGCAGCGAAAGCGAGUCUGAAUAGGGCGUUGAGUAUUUGGUCGUAGACCCGAAACCAGGUGAUCUACCCUUGGUCAGGUUGAAGUUCAGGUAACACUGAAUGGAGGACCGAACCGACUUACGUUGAAAAGUGAGCGGAUGAACUGAGGGUAGCGGAGAAAUUCCAAUCGAACUUGGAGAUAGCUGGUUCUCUCCGAAAUAGCUUUAGGGCUAGCCUCAAGUGAUGAUUAUUGGAGGUAGAGCACUGUUUGGACGAGGGGCCCCUCUCGGGUUACCGAAUUCAGACAAACUCCGAAUGCCAAUUAAUUUAACUUGGGAGUCAGAACAUGGGUGAUAAGGUCCGUGUUCGAAAGGGAAACAGCCCAGACCACCAGCUAAGGUCCCAAAAUAUAUGUUAAGUGGAAAAGGAUGUGGCGUUGCCCAGACAACUAGGAUGUUGGCUUAGAAGCAGCCAUCAUUUAAAGAGUGCGUAAUAGCUCACUAGUCGAGUGACACUGCGCCGAAAAUGUACCGGGGCUAAACAUAUUACCGAAGCUGUGGAUUGUCCUUUGGACAAUGGUAGGAGAGCGUUCUAAGGGCGUCGAAGCAUGAUCGCAAGGACAUGUGGAGCGCUUAGAAGUGAGAAUGCCGGUGUGAGUAGCGAAAGACGGGUGAGAAUCCCGUCCAC
rnacentral:rRNA from 1 species